rnacentral:rRNA from 1 species
ACCGAGUCUUAAUUGGGCGUUAAGUUGCAGGGUAUAGACCCGAAACCCGGUGAUCUAGCCAUGGGCAGGUUGAAGGUUGGGUAACACUAACUGGAGGACCGAACCGACUAAUGUUGAAAAAUUAGCGGAUGACCUGUGGCUGGGGGUGAAAGGCCAAUCAAACCGGGAGAUAGCUGGUUCUCCCCGAAAGCUAUUUAGGUAGCGCCUCGUGAACUCAUCUCCGGGGGUAGAGCACUGUUUCGGCUAGGGGGCCAUCCCGGCUUACCAACCCGAUGCAAACUGCGAAUACCGGAGAAUGUUAUCACGGGAGACACACGGCGGGUGCUAACGUCCGUCGUGAAGAGGGAAACAACCCAGACCGCCAGCUAAGGUCCCAAAGUCAUGGUUAAGUGGGAAACGAUGUGGGAAGGCCCAGACAGCCAGGAUGUUGGCUUAGAAGCAGCCAUCAUUUAAAGAAAGCGUAAUAGCUCACUGGUCGAGUCGGCCUGCGCGGAAGAUGUAACGGGGCUAAACCAUGCACCGAAGCUGCGGCAGCGACACUUUAGUGUUGUUGGGUAGGGGAGCGUUCUGUAAGCCGUUGAAGGUGUCCUGUGAGGGGUGCUGGAGGUAUCAGAAGUGCGAAUGCUGACAUAAGUAACGAUAAAGCGGGUGAAAAGCCCGCUCGCCGGAAGACCAAGGGUUCCUGUCCAACGUUAAUCGGGGCAGGGUGAGUCGACCCCUAAGGCGAGGCCGAAAGGCGUAGUCGAUGGGAAACGGGUUAAUAUUCCCGUACUUGGUGUUACUGCGAAGGGGGGACGGAGAAGGCUAUGUUGGCCGGGCGACGGUUGUCCCGGUUUAAGCGUGUAGGUGUGUGUUCCAGGUAAAUCCGGUUCACUUUAACACUGAGGCGUGAUGACGAGGCACCACGGUGCUGAAGCAACAAAUGCCCUGCUUCCAGGAAAAGCCUCUAAGCAUCAGGUAACAUCAAAUCGUACCCCAAACCGACACAGGUGGUCAGGUAGAGAAUACCAAGGCGCUUGAGAGAACUCGGGUGAAGGAACUAGGCAAAAUGGUGCCGUAACUUCGGGAGAAGGCACGCUGACACGUAGGUGAAGUGAUUUACUCACGGAGCUGAAGUCAGUCGAAGAUACCAGCUGGCUGCAACUGUUUAUUAAAAACACAGCACUGUGCAAACACGAAAGUGGACGUAUACGGUGUGACGCCUGCCCGGUGCCGGAAGGUUAAUUGAUGGGGUCAGCGCAAGCGAAGCUCCUGAUCGAAGCCCCGGUAAACGGCGGCCGUAACUAUAACGGUCCUAAGGUAGCGAAAUUCCUUGUCGGGUAAGUUCCGACCUGCACGAAUGGCGUAAUGAUGGCCAGGCUGUCUCCACCCGAGACUCAGUGAAAUUGAACUCGCUGUGAAGAUGCAGUGUACCCGCGGCAAGACGGAAAGACCCCGUGAACCUUUACUAUAGCUUGACACUGAACAUUGAGCCUUGAUGUGUAGGAUAGGUGGGAGGCUUUGAAGCGUGGACGCCAGUCUGCGUGGAGCCGACCUUGAAAUACCACCCUUUAAUGUUUGAUGUUCUAACGUGGACCCGUAAUCCGGGUUGCGGACAGUGUCUGGUGGGUAGUUUGACUGGGGCGGUCUCCUCCUAAAGAGUAACGGAGGAGCACGAAGGUUGGCUAAUCCUGGUCGGACAUCAGGAGGUUAGUGCAAUGGCAUAAGCCAGCUUGACUGCGAGCGUGACGGCGCGAGCAGGUGCGAAAGCAGGUCAUAGUGAUCCGGUGGUUCUGAAUGGAAGGGCCAUCGCUCAACGGAUAAAAGGUACUCCGGGGAUAACAGGCUGAUACCGCCCAAGAGUUCAUAUCGACGGCGGUGUUUGGCACCUCGAUGUCGGCUCAUCACAUCCUGGGGCUGAAGUAGGUCCCAAGGGUAUGGCUGUUCGCCAUUUAAAGUGGUACGCGAGCUGGGUUUAGAACGUCGUGAGACAGUUCGGUCCCUAUCUGCCGUGGGCGCUGGAAGAUUGAGGGGGGCUGCUCCUAGUACGAGAGGACCGGAGUGGACGCAUCACUGGUGUUCGGGUUGUCAUGCCAAUGGCACUGCCCGGUAGCUAAAUGCGGAAAAGAUAAGUGCUGAAAGCAUCUAAGCACGAAACUUGCCCCGAGAUGAGUCUUCCCUGAGACUUUGAGUCUCCUGAAGGAACGUUAAAGACGAUGACGUUGAUAGGCCGGGUGUGUAAGCGCAGCGAUGCGUUGAGCUAACCGGUACUAAUGAACCGUGAGGCUUAACCUUACA